rnacentral:ncRNA from 2 species
UCAACAUGACAGGGGUGCCGGUACGGGCUGAGAAGAGACCCUUUGAACCUGACCUGGGUAAUGCCAGCGUAGGGAUUGGCGUUUGAUCGUUC